GGAUAGAGGCCUACCAUGGUCGUAACGGGUAACGGAGAAUUAGGGUUCGAUUCCGGAGAGGGAGCCUGAGAAAUGGCUACCACUNNNAAGGAAGGCAGCAGGCGCGCAAAUUACCCAAUCCCGACACGGGGAGGUAGUGACAAUAAAUAACAAUACAGGCGCUCGAUAAGAGUCUUGUAAUUGGAAUGAGUACAAUUUAAACCCCUUAACGAGUAACAAUUGGAGGGCAAGUCUGGUGCCAGCAGCCGCGGUAAUUCCAGCUCCAAUAGCGUAUAUUAAAGUUGUUGCAGUUAAAAAGCUCGUAGUUGAAUUUCGGGGUUAGUAGGUUGGUCAUGCCUCUGGUAUGUACUGGUCUCACUGAUUCCUCCUUCCUUAUGAACCGUAAUGCCAUUAAUUUGGUGUUGCGGGGAAUUUGGACUGUUACUUUGAAAAAAUUAGAGUGUUUAAAGCAAGCUAACGCUUGAAUACAUUAGCAUGGAAUAAUGGAAUAGGACGUUCGAUCUUAUUUUGUUGGUUUCUAGGAUUGACGUAAUGAUUAAUAGGGAUAGUUGGGGGCAUUAGUAUUCAAUUGUCAGAGGUGAAAUUCUUGGAUUUAUUGAAGACUAACUACUGCGAAAGCAUUUGCCAAGGAUGUUUUCAUUAAUCAAGAACGAAAGUUAGGGGAUCGAAGACGAUCAGAUACCGUCGUAGUCUUAACCAUAAACUAUGCCGACUAGG
rnacentral:rRNA from 1 species